UUGCUUCCCUCUGCAGGAGAUCAAAACGUGGAGUACAAGGGGACCGUCUGGCACAAAGACUGCUUCACCUGUAGUAACUGCAAGCAAGUCAUCGGGACUGGAAGCUUCUUCCCUAAAGGGGAGGACUUCUACUGCGUGACUUGCCAUGAGACCAAGUUUGCCAAGCAUUGCGUGAAGUGCAACAAGCCAUCACAUCUGGAGGAAUCACUUACCAGGAUCAGCCCUGGCAUGCCGAUUGCUUUGUGUGUGUUACCUGCUCUAAGAAGCUGGCUGGGCAGCGUUUCACCGCUGUGGAGGACCAGUAUUACUGCGUGGAUUGCUACAAGAACUUUGUGGCCAAGAAGUGUGCUGGAUGCAAGAACCCCAUCACUGGUUUGGUAAAGGCUCCAGUGUGGUGGCCUAUGAAGGACAAUCCUGGCACGACUACUGCUUCCACUGCAAAAAAUGC
rnacentral:lncRNA from 1 species